rnacentral:lncRNA from 1 species
GGCCCGGCUAAGAGAGUCGUGCAGUGUAGCCUGGACUGUCCCGAAGAAUCAGGUGAAAAUGGUCAUCAGACUGCGCCUUUGCCUCACUCUCGUUCAGGCCCUACUCCUCUCUGCUUCCUCGGAGCUGGCCCUGCUAAGAAGACUCUCCAGGGGAAACCAAAGUCCUCAUAAAUGGAAGAUCAACGUGCAAAGUCCACCUGCUCGCCUCUCAGGAGCUCCCAUGCAGUGAUGGAGG